rfam:Schistosoma mattheei strain Denwood, Zambia genome assembly, scaffold: SMTD_scaffold0004541
AGCUUUCUGAAUCCGUGGACAGAUUUCGUCAGGCACUAACCCAAUAGGGAUGGUCAGACUUCCAAGAUACGUGAAGUU